UACGUAGGGUGCAAGCGUUGUUCGGAAUUACUGGGCGUAAAGGGAGCGUAGGCGGAUUUGUAAGUUAGGAGUUCAAUCCAUGGGCUUAACCCAUGUUCUGCUCUUAAUACUGCAGGUCUUGAGUAUGGAAGAGGGUGAUGGAAUUUCAGGUGUAGCGGUGGAAUGCGUAGAUAUCUGAAAGAACACCAGUAGCGAAGGCGGUCACCUGGUCCAAUACUGACGCUGAGGCUCGAAAGCUAGGGGAG
rnacentral:rRNA from 1 species